rnacentral:tRNA from 1 species
GGCGUAGCUCAGUUGGUAGAGCCCCGGAUUGUGAUUCCGGUUGUCGCGGGUUCAAGUCCCGUCGUU